AGCAGUAGCCACGGUAAUACGUAGGGUGCGAGCGUUAAUCGGAAUUACUGGGCGUAAAGCGUGCGCAGGCGGUUAUAUAAGACAGAUGUGAAAUCCCCGGGCUCAACCUGGGACCUGCAUUUGUGACUGUAUAGCUAGAGUACGGUAGAGGGGGAUGGAAUUCCGCGUGUAGCAGUGAAAUGCGUAGAUAUGCGGAGGAACACCGAUGGCGAAGGCAAUCCCCUGGACCUGUACUGACGCUCAUGCACGAAAGCGUGGGGAGCGAACAGGAUUAGAUACCCCUGUAGUCCCUGUCUCUUAUAC
rnacentral:rRNA from 1 species